AGAAAGACAUUAAACAUUUAUUUGGAGCUGCAGAUCAGAAAGGACCACGUAUAUUAAAUGAACAAGUAGAAGAUUCUCCGAAAAGAUAUCCUUACGUGAAGCCUACCGUUGAAGUGAAAGAUUCUGUUCCUAAUAAAACAGUAGAAGUCAAGGACAAACAAACAUCCAACUCAGGUAAAUUUUACAAUACAAAUUUCACAGUGGAAAGAAGUACACUAA